AUGUUGAUGUUGGUGUUUGGAUUCAACCAUAUUGAUACUAGCAUCAGUGGUGGCAUGGCUGUACGAGCCCCACCGAGUAGUUUUCUAGGCUGCAAGCUCUUGACGAGACCUGUGGAGAGCUAUCGACGAGCUUGCAACACCCCUAGGUGCAACAAUGCCCAGCCCUACAACAAAUGCAGUGCCACAACAAUGACCACCGCACUCUGUGUAUGUGGUUCAGUGUCGAUGCUUGUACCCCUGCUGACGCUUCAAAUUCCAAUACUAAUGCCACAGUUAUGCCCAGUGUCUCUUUUGUGCCAUGCAUCUGGAGCCUUUGCGGAGAAAUGGAGGAUGGUCAAGAUGGUGCUGCCGACCUUACUUGGGCAUUCGUUUUUCUUACGAGGAAUCAGCCAUCCUGUACCUCGCUAUAUGUGCGUCUCAGCAGUUGCAGCACAUUAUCCUCUGCUCAACAUGUUCGUGUAUCCAAUGAUCAAUUGCUGCUUUAGGUUCUUUAUGAUGGGUAUUGCUGCUACAUUUGCUGGAGCAUUUGGACUGGGAAACAAAGUUUGCGUAAGGGGGAGAAAGUUCUUCGUUUCAGGAUGGCGUUUGUCAGCUGAUGCAGAUGCUGCUACUGCUGCUGAUCGUGGGACGAGAAGGAAUAUUUAUGGCCAUAUGCUUGUUGGUAGACAUGCCAGGUCCAAUGGCUGUCCUCUUUUUCUCAUCGGUCAUGUUCUCUUUCUUACAUUACAAUUUACAAUCAUUGUCCUUUCCUCCCUCGGUCUGAUGUGUACAUGCUUGAUGAUCAAGAACCGUUCAGGUUCCCUGCUCCGGGCACAUGCACUUUGGAACGCAAGAGCAGGUAGCUCUUCGUCCAUGGAAGCUUGCACAACUCGUGAUGAAAUGCGGUUGGCAAGCAAGCUUGGAUUUCAAAGAAUCGUCAUAGAGAGUGAUGCCCAGGAGGUGGUCAAACUGUGUAACACAUACUGCUUUGAUCGUGCGAAGAUUGUUGCUAUCUCUCAAGAUACAAGGGAGCUUAUUAGAGGCUUAGGCGGAGGUGUGUUGGUGCAUGUGGUUCGUGAAGCAAAUGAGGUGUAUCAUGGAUGUGCUAAAUAG
rnacentral:rRNA from 1 species